GGGCUCGUGGUCUAGUUGGUUAUGACGUCGCCUUGACACGGCGGAGGUCUUGAGUUCGAAUCUCAACGAGCCCA
rnacentral:tRNA from 2 species